rnacentral:lncRNA from 1 species
ACAAGGUCUGUUUGUAGCCUUCCCAAACAUUCCCAGCAUCACCAACAGUUCAUAUUUGUAACAAAGUACACAUAAACUUCAUAGAUUUGGUUAAAUUUGUAGCCUCCACAAACAUUCCCAAUGUACAUCACUAUGGGUUUAUAACCAGAUACAGAUAUUGAAAAAAUCAAAGUUCCUGGACAAUUAUGAGACACAAAUACAGAUACACUUGAGCUACACCUUCGGACCUCCCCAUUUGACCUAUCCAUCGUGUCCAAGACUUGUAGUUGCUAUGGCAUCCGAGAGAAAGUAGGCUGUUAAUUAAUAAGGUCAUUCAUGAGAUCCCAGCGACAGUACAGACAAUAAAACACUUUUCUGAAAUGCUAUAGUUUCCAAAUCGCAUCAAACAAUAAAUCAUUUUGUGAUACAGAAAGGAAUCUAGGAUUAAUUUCUUCGGCUUCAUUGACGCUCAUAAUCACAUUACUGGUGUAUAAGUGAUUAAGCGAAAGGAAUAAUCAGUAGAAGCUCUUACAAGCAUUUAGCUAUUAACAGUCCAAAAACUUAGGUUGCCUGGCAACAUAAAGAAAAGUACUACAUGAUCCAAAUGGUAAGUUGGCAGUUGUACUAAUCCAAAAGCGGAAUCUGUCUCAAAAAAGAAAGGAAUUGAAAUGUAAUACCUGGACAUUUUAAGAAAUGCAGUCAGUGAGACAAAGCUAUUUUUUUUCAGAAAUGCAGUCAUUAUAUAGAGCUGAAGACUAUUGCUUGAUAACAUAGUUGCAAUUGAAUGGAAUAAACUUUGAGCGAAACUAUGACUUUAUAAUUUAGGUAAGCAUGGCCAAUUAUUUCUGCUAAAUUGCAAGAAGCAUUAUAAGCAAAGCAAACAUGUAAGGCGUAAUUAACACUCCUCCGCACGAUACAUACUCAAAGACGAGUCCAGGGAUUGAUGCAUCGAUAUUUACUCAUGCGUUAUAACUGUGUACAAAUGCUUAUACUCAGAAGUUGAGGCUGAAGCUUAUAUUGCCUUGCUAUCAUCACAAAUAUUUUAUUUCCGAGGCAUGGACAAAAUAAUAUUGCUAAUGUAACUACUCUUGUACUUACAUUAGAAAUGUGUCUCAAUCUAUUAGAAUUGAUUAUCACUAUUCAUUAGGAAAUACUCCCUUGGUGUCAAAAAAUGUCUUAUAUUUUGAUACAGAGGGGGUACUAUGCAACAUUUUCUUCGCAAUUUCAAAUGGCCACCAAACAAGGGAAAUUUCAAAUUGAUAAGAGAGAUAUAAAAUAUGUAGUUACGUAUAAAACAGAAGGGUGCCUUCUGAAAUGUCAACUGAAAGUCACCCAAUGAUGUUGAGAAGAAUUUAUAGUGCAGAGUUUGAUUCCUUCACUGAACAAAAGGGGCAAGCAUUUGAUAUGAUCUUUGCUGCGUUGAGUUGACUCCAAAUUUCACCAAUUCAAUACACACUCUUACGUUUUCAACUUUGGUAUCUGAUAUUGCACUACUUCACUAUAUAUUCAGUUGACUUUCUGAAUUACUUACACAAGCUGAAAUACAAACAUGUACAUUGCAUCUGAUAAAUCACUAAAAGCCUACAGCACAUGGCUUUUACACCACAAGAAUAAUAUAUUUUUUCUAUUCUAACUAUCACAAAAUAGAGAUGCUUACAUCCCACAUCAAGCAAGAACUAAGAAAUCAAGAGCUGCUCACGCUGAGCUACAAAUUGGCAAACUACAUGGAGUUUUGUUCACCAGAAGUUCAUCCAUAAUUAAGUAAAGAGAAGAAAGCUUGCAAUACCUCAUGGAGGGAUGGUACCUGGCACUGGUGCAGUAAUGAGGCAUCUCCACCAGAAACUUGACAGGGAGCACGAGGAAGCCAUGGAACUCCGACCCCACUACAAACCUCCCCAUGGCCACGAUCUGCUGCCAUUUCUGCACAUCCACCUUCUCCCGACGCCAUCCUUCUUUCCCAUGUAACAGCCACACGAAUCUCCUGUUGCCGCUCUCUUUUUUGUGCAAAGCACGUGAGACCAUACUAUUUCAUCAAAUUUUGCAAGUGUACAUUACAGUUAUAUCAUGAUUAUCAUUCAUGAAAGUUUUCAACAAUUACAACGUUUGAAAGGAGCAACAGAGAGU